CCUACGGGGGGCAGCAGUGGGGAAUAUUGGACAAUGGGGGCAACCCUGAUCCAGCCAUGCCGCGUGUGUGAAGAAGGCCCUCGGGUUGUAAAGCACUUUCAGUGAGGAAGAACGCCUGGUGGUUAAUACCCAUCAGGAAAGACAUCACUCACAGAAGAAGCACCGGCCAACUCCGUGCCAGCAGCCGCGGUAAUACGGAGGGUGCGAGCGUUAAUCGGAAUUACUGGGCGUAAAGCGCGCGUAGGUGGCUUGAUAAGCCGGUUGUGAAAGCCCCGGGCUCAACCUGGGAACGGCAUCCGGAACUGUCAAGCUAGAGUGCAGGAGAGGAAGGUAGAAUUCCCGGUGUAGCGGUGAAAUGCGUAGAGAUCGGGAGGAAUACCAGUGGCGAAGGCGGCCUUCUGGACGGACACUGACACUGAGGUGCGAAAGCGUGGGUAGCAAACAGGAUUAGAUACCCUUGUAGUC
rnacentral:rRNA from 1 species